CUGCCUCUCGGAGACGAUGAGCACGCUGCACUACGCCAGCCGGGCCCGGAGGGUCACCACCAGGCCUGUGGCUAACAGGGUGUCCCGGGAGAAGCUGCUGCAGACCUUGGAGGAAGAAAUCCAGGCCCUACAGCUGGAAAACCUCUCCCUGCGCCGGCAGCUGUGUCUGCCCAGGCUGCCGGCGAGGAGCACGGAGGCCGCCCUGGGGACCCCCGCGAGGGCAGGGGCCAGGCCGGGCUGGGGAGGGCUGCGACAGUCCUCUCCUGAAGGGCAGCACCCUGCUGCGGUGGGUGAGGGCAGCGUGGCCAGGGCCUCGCGGAGAGCCCCAGCCUGGCCCAGUCUCUACGGCGUCCUGCGGGACUUCGUGGUGGAGAACGAACGGCUCAGGCACGGUGGGUCCCCAGCCCUCUCCGGCACACGCAGGAGCCACGAGCUCAGAGCCGAGGCUCAAGGAUCCGGCGGGGCAGCUCUGGGGGGCAGCUGGAGCCCCCCGGCUGCACAGGACCCCGUGUCCGACAACCUCUCCCAGGGAUGGGGACGCCUGUGCCAGGGAGGCUUUGGCAGCGUGUGCAGGGGGCAGGAGGGCUCAUGGCCCGGUAUGCCUGGCCCUGUGSCAUGUGCUGCCUGCUCCCAGAGCGGCAAUCCCACAGGGAACCCCGGCACCCUGAUCCCGUGGGCCGGGCAGGGCUUGGAGGCCUGCUGGAGGCUGCCUGCGUCCUGCCCCGUGCCCUUGCUGCUCUCCAGGCAACCCCAGCCAGCUCCAGACCUCAUCGGUGACGUCCCGGCCAGCCCAUCCCACAGAGCCACCCGCAGCUCCUGGAGCACCCGUGGCCCCCGCGCCUUGCUGGGCCACCCCGCGAGGCUCCUCCAGCCCAACGGGACCCCCGCCUCCAGCUGCUGGGCCCCACUGCUGAAACUGGCUCCCGCCUCCAGCUGCCCCUGCUGCCCGGGGUGCCCCCAGUGCUGCCCUGAGCCAGCCGGUGCCAUCAUGUCCCCGGUGCUGCCGGGGCCCCCCACACUGCAGCCAGUCCCUGCCGAGGGAAGUGCCAGCAUCCCGCCGCCCGGCCAGGAGGAUGCGGCUCUGCCCUGCUCCCAUCAGCUCCCUGGGCCCCCCCAGCCACACCAGGCAAAGCGCAGGAGCCAGGGCAGGACCAGGAGCUCGUCUCAGCGACACCUGCUCCCAAGGGAAAGCCAGGACCAGCGGGGUCCGGAGCGCAGGACCAGCCCCGAGGGAAAGGUCGUCCCUUCGGCCCCGCCAUGGCCAGGGCUGUCGGAGCCGAGAGGUGAGCAGGGUGGCGGGGGGAGGCCGGGAUACAGCCCCUGCCCUUYCCCUGGGGCAGCCAGGCAGCGCCUCGGAUGCAGU
rnacentral:lncRNA from 1 species